UGCAUCGGCCGGGAAUCGAACCCUGGCCGCCCGCGUGGCAGGCGAGCAUUCUUCCACUGAACCACCGAUGC
rnacentral:tRNA from 1 species